rnacentral:tRNA from 1 species
GGAGCAAUUGGUAGCUCGUCGGGCUCAUAUCCCGACAAAGUCGGGAUGCAGGUUCAAGUCCUGACAGUGG